rnacentral:lncRNA from 1 species
UUUAGCAUUUUAGUUUAGAAUUCUAAGUAGAAUUUCUGGCAACAGCCAGCCGAGGUGAAAUCAGCUGAUCGGUUUUAAACUACCGACAUUGAAGAAAAAACAUGGCCAUGGUCACACUAACCUAACGUUAAACUAAGUAUUGAAAGGCGGCGUUUUGGUCCAAUCACGUCGGUAAACUAAUGGACUGUUGUUUUCUUCUUCAUUCAAAGGAAUUGCUCAUGUUUUCGUAAUGAUAAUAAUAUUUGUUACGUAUUCAUGGGACUGAAAAGUCAGGAGAGAAGCUGACGCGGUGGCUAGCUUUCGUGGCUGAUACUGCUCGCUUAUAUCCAGGCUGAUCAGUAGCAAAUUUCCUCGACGAAAAUGCACUAUCCCGUAUUAUGGAUGCACAGGUUAAUAUACCUGUUUCAUUCAAGGGAAUAUGUGCGACAAACCAACUUUUUGUUGCAUUGUGUAUCUUUGUUACUUGUGAUUUAAUAUGCUGUCUGUUUCAUUUUGCUUGUCUUGAAGUUAGUUUAAUGAAAUUGAGUACAUGUGGUGAACUUGUAACCAUAUGAAAGUACUUGUACCAACCAACUUCAACUAGAUCUUCAGUGCGUGCAGUGCCGGUCAGCAUUUUUUCUAAUGAAGAAAACUUUUGAGAACUUCUCACUUCAAGCUCACCGUGGAAUUCUCUGUGGCAGACGAACAAGUCCAGCAGAAAAUCUAAGAUAAAUGUUAUUGAAUGGCUGCUUCUCUUUAGCCGCAUGAACAAUGUCUUGAAACUCGGCGGUCAUCCAGUCGUCAGUCGCGUCUUGCGCAAGCUGAUCUGUUGCCGCUUCCUCCAACGCCAAGGCCAACACAUUCGCUCGAUGUAGGUGAGUCAAAUUCAAUAACUGAGAAUAGACUUGCUGCAAAAGAAUUUUCGUUGCUUCCCAGGUCAUGUCAGCGUUCAUUACCAAUGGAACACUUUUUGCUGUGGCUUCUCUUGAAAUGAAGUCUCGGACAUAUGAUAAGGCAACUGCAUUAUCUGAAAGGAACACGAUUUCACCUCGCCUGUGUGAUCCAAUACAAAGGGUCGUUACAAUCAAUGUGGAGUGGUGACCGCUCUACCCAGUUACCUGUAAUGGACGGCCAACUUGGUUUGCCAUUGGUCAUUGCGGAAAUAAAAGUGAAUCUCUUCGUCGCUUGGGACUUUAUCCGGAAUAUCAGGGUGUAGACGCACUCCAUUCAAAAGGGUGGCAUCGUACGUGGCGACAAAGACAAACCAGUGGGAAUGACUUCAGUAUAGCCAAACGUGGCUGCUGAAUGUUUAGCGAAACGUAUAACUGCACCAGGUCACUAGUGCUCCGCUCGUUACAGAUAAGUUUCAUUUCAAGUCGCGUGGUAUUGGAUUGGCAUCUGAAAGUUGCUGUCAGCUGAAAGGCGCCAUUCUGUCGUGGAAUAGUUGAUUACCAAAUUUUAUUUUCGUUACAGAUCAGUAAGUAAUUGGUCAGACAGACCCGCUUAGAAUCCAUUAAGCUCAAAAUGGCUAAAUUACGCUCGAUAUCCAUUAGUUGAACGUUUGUGUUGCUCUGGACGAGAAUAAAGUUGAUGGACACUUGGCUCUCCACGACAACGAAAUAGGCAUUUUGUUGGGCUACGAAAUUCAUCUGGCAUAACAAGACGUUCCCAUUGCUUCAAUAUCUGACACCAGUAUAGAAGACUUGUUAUUCUGCGCUUCCUUCACUUGCUUUUCUAGGAAUUCCACUUCAGAUCUGCAAGUAUUAAAAACAAAAUGUGGAGGACUGUGCUUCUGACGUUCUGAGGUGUGAGUGUUUGUUCGGGCCGCAGACACUUCGUCUGUUUGCUUCCUACGCAUCAUAGAUUCGCAGCUGGUGCGGUAUCGGAAUUGCCCUACAAGAAAUCAAUUACGUCCGCAUACCUGUGAGAAGAUCAAAGUCGGACUACGCAUUGCGCCAUCUUCGGGUGAUACUUGAUAGACGUCGACAAAGCCAUCUUCUCUGCCGAUGAUCAACUGGUUAGCACCCGAAUCGCUGAGAUCGGCCAGCUCGGCUCCAGCGGACCAGUCCAAUUUGACCUAGUGAUGUUCCGUAAACUACCCACUCCCCACUGGUCCCACCAUCGUUUUGAAACAGUUGCAUCGCUGUGGGUAUACCGUCGAGUGGCAGUCGAUGUCGAACAGCCGAAUCCCUGAGGGAGUAAAUGGUUCCAUCUUGGCACCCCAGCAGCGGAGUUAAGCUUGGUACCUGUAAACGGAGGCGUCUCGCAGUGUUGGGCGUAAAACAACAUGGCAAGAGAACUUAAAAAUGAAGGCGCGUACCUUGUUGAGAGUGGUUAUAAACGUAGGAGUUGAAAACAGCCAUCUCCUCCUUACUGGCCAUCCACCUGCACGAAAAUAGUACGAGCUCCUUUACUGUUCACUCCCACCAUCUGCAUACAAAUUGAAGAAACAGCAGCUCUUAUGUAGUACAAGAGACGGAAGUAAAACAUGACUCACAAAUGCUGAAUGGGUUCUACCAGGUUUGUAUCCAUUUUAAAAAUCAGCUUGCCCUUAACUGAAAAGCACUGCACUGUUUGUGCAGUUGCUGUUACAAUCAUCUCCAAUGUAGGUUCUGUGUUCAUCAGAUUAAGAGCAGAGAAAGUUCAGCAGAGCACAGUUCAAAAGUUAAAAAACAUCUUUAGGUGCUCACUGAAAUUUUAUAGGAGAUUUGAGGUCUAUUUUGAAGUCCACGAAAGGUUCUCCCUUUUUUAUGGAAACCAAUUGCAAUUUUCCUCUUUGGUCUCCAAUAGCUACCUGUGCAACAAGCAAAGCAUUUACGCGAAAAAGAUAAGUGAGAAGUAGUCAAUGGAGCUGAACAGAACUGCUCUUCAACGAGGAUACCUGCACGUAAUCGAUUCGUUGGAGCUUCAGCUUGACUUGAGAUUGCAUUUUUGCUAGAUUGCAAAUCAAAAAGAAAAGGGAGGAUUAAAGCGGUUGUGGUUUUUCAUACUUACUAACGGACUGCGAGAUAUGAAACAAACGCGGUUACUAUGGCAGCGUCAAGCGCGCCUUCUUUAAACCACCGCUUUCUAUCUAUUACUAUUGACGCUUAUAUCUAGAAAAUUCCACGACAGUAAAUUUUUAUUUGUUAUUUUACGUUAUUUCUUUAACCUUGGGGUAAUUGGAAAACAAAUUUUAAUACUUGUGGGAGCAGACCACUUAUGCAACAUAUAUAGGCUAUCGUUUACGUGCCUUCCAGAAUUCAGUACCAUGGAACUCCCGUACAGAGCUGGGAAAGUAGUAUUACAAAAUCCGCAAUGCUGUCCCACAGUCAUCAACCACAAAUAAGAAGUGUAUUGAUGUCAAGUAUUAUUCAAGAAUACAGCAGAAGAUAUCGGUUUGAAGAGGACCUUAACCCUUUAUAGGUUCAUUUACUCAUCAAGAUAUGAAGAUCUAACUGAUUUUGUUUUUCAAUCCAGUCAACAAAAGACGAGAUUCUAGUGUAAACUCCGGGGAAAUCGGGAUCUGCGCAUCCUGUAGUAGACGCUAAUUAUACCAAUUUGAAUCCAUUUGGCACCGGGCAUGUCUUGAACUAGCAAUGGACCUCCACUGUCACCCUGCGUUAUUACAUGUCCAUGGAAAACGAAAGCAUAACUUGCAUGUUGAUCGGAGGAGUCAUUUGGCGGCAGGCAAAUAGGAGAAAUCGUAGGAGUAAACACAACAGGUGAAUCCAGAGUCAGAAGAGCGAUAUCGUUGUACUAAACCAUUGCAAGGUUUCCGCAUUGAAAUCAUUAUGGUAUGCCACCCGUAACACCGUCUUCGUAACUUGUGGAUCCUUCACGGGCCUUAAGCUAUGCAUACCUAGCGCCACUCUCAGUUUCGAAAUGUUCCUUGCCGAAAAGCUGCGGGGAAAGUUUUAUGUUAUCUGAUUUGAAAAAAUGCAGGUAAAGACGCAGGUGUAAAUGGUUUUAUACCUGACCACACAGUGAGCCGCGGUGACUACGUGUAUCGAGUCAAUCAGAGAUCCACCACAAAAUUGCCGAUUGUACAUCAAUAGUGCCACCUUAAAGUUGUUGAUGGAACCCAAGAAGACGCAAGCCAAGAGUUUUUGACCGCAUUAGUUUCUCCAAAACUCGGCGUUUUGUAAGGUCCAGAACCACACCUACGGUUGUCAUUCUUUAGGGCAUGGUUGACACUUACACCAGAACACUGCAAGGUAAUCAAAAGUAGUAAGUAAACUGGCAACACGCCUGGAUUAGAGCACUUCAUAUUGUAAGCUGUAACGGUAACGCACUACCCAGAAUCCCGUGAUUUGAAACCACAAUCCAUGACGACAAUUUAUGACCCGUGUCAAUAUCGCAAUCUACCAUAUGAUUGAACUAUCACGUACCGACAUAUAAUGUUGAGAUCACCGC